GGAGAGCAGAUUUCUUCCUGUCUGGGACUGAUGGCGUUUGGGGAUGGGCAGGACCCUGCGUAACAUAGACUUGAGAAACAGGAGAGAUACUCAGGGCUUUCUUUCCAUUAAAGUCCUCGUCCUGGACCUUGAGCAAAUUUCUCAGCACAGAAGCAUUUGGCACGACUACCAAGCCUGCUGCUCACGCCUGCCGAGACUGCGGAACGCUGACGACAAUUGCUGACAUCCUUCCUGUGUCUUCUGCGCAAGUAGAGUGGCCUUCCUCCCCUGGGAGCAGGAAAUAGCUAUUUCCCAGACAGGGAGCUGACAGCGCAGGAAAGAGGAGAGUGUGGCAGCCAAAAACUGAGAAAAGAAAUUCAAGUCUUGGGAGUUCUGGAAGUCUCUGCAUCUCAAACCCAUGGGAAUGGAGUGUUCAAGGAUGUAGCCAGCAGGGCAUCCUUUAAAACACAGCCACAGUGAGUCACAGCCAGUAAAUGGGGCUUGGACUUUGGAGUCAUCAUUUUACAUCUUCUUCCCUCCCUGCUCAGUUAACGGCCAGACAACCAGCUCAUCACAAGAGCAGCUUCUGUUUGCAAAGCGAUCAGCACAGUUUCUUAGAUAUUACCUCAGUGAACAUUGAUCCGAUUAAAUAACAUAGAGCUUUAAAAUCCCAAGUCUGUUCAGUACACAUUAUCUUAUAUGUACCAUGCAGACAGGAAUAAGGAGAACAGAUGCUUUUAGUGCUCAUGGUAAUUGCAGUUGUUCUUGCUCUAAAUUGGGUGAAUGAAUCCUGGAUGCCCCACACCUCACAAAAGAAGAUGAGCUGAGAUUUGCAUCCUAGCAGUCGGCGUCUACGUUUAUCAAAUAAGCCUUUUUAUUAGACUGUACAACCCCGUGCAAGGAAACGCAAGCUGAAGCAAUGACUGGGCGUUCCUACUCACUUGAGACUUGAUGGGCUGCUGGGACCAGGGCUGACUCUGACUCAGGGGCGAAGGGCCACUCUGCAGGGACAGCAUCUGCAAAGAGCAAGAGGAACAUUCUCCAAAACUAAAAUGAGAUGACCUUGGGCUACUACACAUAGAAUCAGAGAAUCCUGACGCUUCAAAGAUAGGAGUUCUUUAAAUCCACAAGGAAAUGACCGUCAAAGGGACUGGAGUCACACAAAUGCACAGUGCACCAAGACAAUGAAACCACUUCCCUGAGCUUUUUUCCCUCUAAUAAAGGGCAGCAGCAACAGCAUCCUUACAGGCUCUCUUGUCCCACUGUGCCCCUUCCUCCUAGGCUAUGCUUUCCUUCAAGGUAUGGAGUUUCUUGGUCUGACCACGCAGUCUCACCUGUCUGGGAGUCUCUAGGAGCUGGUGCCUUGGUUGGACUUGGAGUCUGUGUUCCAGCGGUGAGCGUUCCUGAGAGGAAAGGAGAGAGGUGAGCGUGCAUCUUUCCAACGGGAGCCCAGCCUGAAGAAGAUGCUCCACGUCUCACCAGUGCUGCUGACUGGUGAACAGAUGUCAAUCAGGGUGCUGAAGGUGCGGGAAUGAAUAAGAAAUACAGCCACAGUCAUUUUCUUCUUGGAGUGUGUAAGGGCAGUGGAUGAGUCCCAUCAGUACCUGGUAAAGUGUGAUGGGGCUAUUGGGAACUUUCCAGUAUCAGUAAGAUUUGGUGGCACUGCACGGAAGCACGGAAGCGUAUGAAUAUGAGCCCUCUAAGACAAAGUGAACACGGCUUGCUUGUCAUUGAUCUGAGUCUUGGUAUACACAUGAUUCCAUCCACAUUCCUGAUAAUUCGCCGGUCAAUAAUUUUAAUAAUAGCCUAAGCUGUCAGUUCAACAUCUAUCUUCCAUGUUCAUAAAGUCUUGGUUUUAGGACCACUUCAGGACCUGACCCAUGCUAAUAUAAGUCUGGCCUCUGGCAAGCUAGCAAAGCAGCCCUCUAUUCUAGAAGGUGAGGGAGAGAUAUGUUUAAACUGGCAGCUCCGUUCUGUGGAUGAAUGAAAAGAGUAAGGCUGGGCUACAACCUGGCCCAGUAGAUAGGCACCUAAUUCAGUAGAUGCCAUUGCUGACUGCAACAAGGCACAUAGAGUUAACAAGGAUAGGUCUCCUGGGCUGAGCAAAAAGCACAUGCAAAGACCUGGAGGAAUGAGCAACAGAGACUCUUCGGUGGCUGGACUCCAGAAAAUAAAGUGAAAAAGAGGGGGCUGUGGGGAGCCCAUGUUCCAGCCUACAUUUCUGUAAUGCGGUCCACUAUUUGUGACCACUCUUCUGCAUGGACUGUGAGUUUUGUGGUGUUUAACUCAACAUGGCUGUCAGCCCAUGGACGUCCAUGUGAGUUGCAAAGAGGACUGCUACUGUCAUCCACACACAGCCCAUAACUGCCAGGAUCCCUCAACACCAAGGGAAAUCUGGUCAUUUUCUUAUGGGGGGUGUCAACAUCAUCUUUUGAUUUCUCUUCAGGUAUUGAUUAGGCUGUAACCUCCAGUAAAGAAGGUACAGUAAUGCUUGCUUCCUUUUUGGAUUUCUACGUAAAUCUUGAGCAACCUGAGUCACAUCCAACUUUUGAUUAAAAGGCUUUGGGAUCACAGAAUAUUGAACUGUUAGGGACUGGGGGCAUGUGACUCCUGUAGAUGGCUGGGCUAGCUGAGAAGAGUUGCAGGAAGAAAUAGCCGUCCAAAUGUCACAGACUGAGCCAAAGAUCUCUGACAACUCUUACCCAACCGACCAGAAAAUGGGAACUCAGAGGGAGAAGAAAACUUUCUGUGAUGAGCGUGCAUGGUAAAGGCAAGAUUUUAGUCCAGCUGUGUCUGAGACUGAGAGAGAACUGAGGUCCAUGGUGACUGAUGCCCCACUGAUCAACGCAAAGUGAUUUUUGCUUUAAUUUUCCUCCCCACUACUGCAAAUGACGGACAGAGCUCGCCUCAUCACACCGGGUGUCUAUGUGAUUAGAGGUACCCAAGUGAUCUUUCCCAGAUACAGCUGAGAUGUUUGUGUCUGAAGUCUGUUAAAUUUCAAGUGCUCUGUCCUAGCCCUGUAUUUCAUAAGAAACUCAUUCAUCUGACAAACUUAAGAUGACUGCCUCUUUCAGAGAAGCCUGAAGUUGACGAUCUAAGCCUUAAGGGAGAACAUGUCUUAGAGGGAAGAGUGUCGAGUUUACAGUUACAAACACUCUGACUGUGACACAUGUUAUAGCCCAUUAAUCAUGAUAGGUGUGGAAGAAGGUUUCUGGCCACCUGUAAAUAUCAGAGGAAAGGAUUUUAACAUGAAUGGUUAGAAACAUACAUGUUGUCUGUGAGAAAUUAUGAACAAUUCAUGAAUAUGAAGUAAAGAAAACGAAAAUCAGAGUAACUGCACUCCCCAGAUAUGAUCUUGGAACUGUAAGGUUAGAUAUAAGCAAAUCAAAAGAAGCAUCUGGGCUGGAGAGAUGGACUGC